rnacentral:rRNA from 1 species
UACGUAGGGGGCUAGCGUUGUCCGGAAUCAUUGGGCGUAAAGAGCGUGUAGGCGGCCCGGUAAGUCCGCUGUGAAAGUCGGGGGCUCAACCCUCGAAUGCCGGUGGAUACUGUCGGGCUCGAGUGCGGAAGAGGCGAGUGGAAUUCCUGGUGUAGCGGUGAAAUGCGCAGAUAUCAGGAGGAACACCAUUGCGAAGGCAGCUCGCUGGGACGUUACUGACGCUGAGACGCGAAAGCGUGGGGAGCAAACAGG